GUGGGGAAUUUUGGACAAUGGGCGAAAGCCUGAUCCAGCCAUGCCGCGUGCAGGAUGAAGGCCUUCGGGUUGUAAACUGCUUUUGUACGGAACGAAAAGACUCUGGUUAAUACCUGGGGUCCAUGACGGUACCGUAAGAAUAAGCACCGGCUAACUACGUGCCAGCAGCCGCGGUAAUACGUAGGGUGCAAGCGUUAAUCGGAAUUACUGGGCGUAAAGCGUGCGCAGGCGGUUAUAUAAGACAGAUGUGAAAUCCCCGGGCUCAACCUGGGAACUGCAUUUGUGACUGUAUAGCUAGAGUACGGCAGAGGGGGAUGGAAUUCCGCGUGUAGCAGUGAAAUGCGUAGAUAUGCGGAGGAACACCGAUGGCGAAGGCAAUCCCCUGGGCCUGCACUGACGCUCAUGCACGAAAGCGUGGGGAGCAAACAGGAUUAGAUACCCCUGUAGUCC
rnacentral:rRNA from 1 species